GAGUUUGAUCGUGGCUCAGAGUGAAUGCUGGAGGCGUGGUUAAGACAUGCAAGUCGAGCGGACCGAAAGGUCAGCGGCGAACGGGUGAGUACAAACUAGGUAACGUACCCCGAGCUGGAGCAUAGCCGAGGGAAACUUCGGGCAAUACUCCAUAACAUCAUCUGCUUAAUGUGGGUGAUCAAAGCUCAGGCGGCUCAGGAUCGGCCUAGUUCCUAUCAGCUUGUUGGUGGGGUAAUGGCCUACCAAGGCAACGACGGGUAGCUGGCCUGAGAGGGUGGUCAGCCACAUCGGGACUGAGACACUGCCCGGACAUCUACGGAUGGCUGCAGUAACGAAUCUUCCGCAAUGGGCGCAAGCCUGACGGAGCGACGCCUCGUGCCAGAGGAAGCCCCCUCGGGGUGUAAAUGGCUUUUCAGGGAUAGGUAACACUGAACCGUCCCAGAAGAAGGUGCGACUAACUUCGUGCCAGCCGCCGCGGUAAC
rnacentral:rRNA from 1 species